UUUAGAAGUUAGCCAAAACGGUUCCUUCACUAGUGACAGCGUGUUGGAAUCUAGAGGUUAGUUUAGGCUACCUCCUCACAACUUGUAGGAUUAACUUGGGUUUGGGCAUGUUGAUUUGCUUAGGAUCUUUAAAACGGCCUCGCUUGUAGAUUACAAGAGUAGAUAACUUGCGGUUUGGUACACUCGGGUAGAUCACGAGAGUGGCACCGGGGACUUUAGUGCAUUUCCUCCAUUCACAAGGGAUAAAACUUCUUUUCUACAUUUGUUUGACUCAUGAUAGACAUUUACCCAAUCCAUAUCCUUACCUAUGUUGCAUCUUAUAUAUCUCUCUUCAUUUGUUGCUUUUAUUUUUGUUAUUUACUUUUGUUGUCUUAAUCCCGUUAUUAUCGAACUAGCUUCACAAGAAUCAAUCCGAGUUAGUGCUUGACCAACCAUUCCCUAUGGAUCGAUAACCCCGGAAUACUCCGGGUAUUUGCGUGUACCUAAAAGCUACAAUCAGCGGUGGCGAGGUUUCCUCUUCUUCGUCGAUUAAGAUGACAGCAACGUGCCGGAGCACGUGCCUGGCGAGCAUGCAACAGCUUUCAUCUCUAACGACGUGACCGGCGGCGAGAGUUAGAUGAUAACAGAAUACACCUCGAGAAAAUUAAUUCAUGGGUGAUUCCUUGCGUCUCCGUAGUGGUUUCUUUUCCUUCAUAUGCGAAGGCGACGGGUCGACGACGACGAUGUGCCAGAGCAACACCCUAAGGCAACCAUAUGGCGAUGGCAGUUCGUGAGAUAACGGCAACAUGCCGGAGCAUGUGCCAGGCGACGCUUUGACGGAUUUUGUCUUCGACGAUGGUGGCCGGCGGCGUGAAAUCCGACAAUGGAGGACAACGACUCGAGAAAAUUAAUUCCCAAGUGUUCCGUUCCAAAGUCUUCGCGUGUCUCUCAUUGUCUCGUUGAUAUGCUCCAAUGAUAGUGAAGGCUCAACAAUUGUGAAAAAGAUUUCUGGAAAAAUCAAUUUCCAAAAAGCUUUUGGUCCACUGUGAGUAACAGCAACGACAAGGAAGAACCAAACAAUGGUAGAAACAUUCUGGAAAAGAAUUAAUCAGUUUCCAAGAAGUUCUAGUCCAGUGUUUAUGAAGAGGGCGAGCCAAGCAGUGGCGGAAGGCAACCCAAUAAAUUAAUUCGGGGGAAGCUCCGGUCCAAUGUUUGUGAAGAUGGCAAGCUCAAGCAAUGGUGAAAUACACCUCAGAAAAUCAAAUUUUCGGGUGUUUUCUACCCAAUGCUUCGCGUAUCUUGUUCUUCUUCUUUCCUGUAAAAGAAAUCAAGAAAAUAGUAUAUUGCAAGAAUUUAAAUUACCUCAGAAGGUCGAAGGUCGAGUGCAAGGACUCUGUUUCUUGGUUUGAAGAAAAGGAAUUAUUGAGGCCUAUUUAUACUUGUGAAAUGCUGGAGUUUGAAUGGGUUUAGAACUCAGAAUACGCUGUUUAUCCUUAUCAAAUUGUUGCACCAAUUCUUAUCAAUUUCAGAGUAUGUGGUUGAAUGUGUGAUAAAACUCCAAUUCCAGUUGAAGUUCUAAAACUGAUUUGUCAUUUGCGAGUGUGAGCUGCUGGCGAAUUCGUAGGAGGAAAUCAUGGGAGAUUUUCGUACAUGUGCUGAGAGUCCACAUUCUGGAAAAGAAAUUUUUAUUGUAGCUAAAAUUAAGUUGAAUUUUUUGACUCAAAUUAAAACAAACAAGGUAGGCUUUU